GACGAACGCUGGCGGCGUGCUUAACACAUGCAAGUCGAACGGGAAGGACCGGCUUUUGCGGGGUGCUCGAGUGGCGAACGGGGGAGUAACACGCGAGUAACCUGCGCUUGACAUUGGGAGAAAUUCAGGAAACUGGGGCUAAUACAGGAUAGGAGCUCCUGCUGCACGGGGGGGGUUGGAGAGAUUCGGCGGAUGUGGAUGGACUCGCGGGUUAUCAGCUUGUUGGUGGGGUAGUGGCAUACCACGGCUUUGGCGGGUAGCCGGCCUGAGCGGGUGAACGGCCCCCUUGGUCCUGCGGUACGGCCCAGUAGCCUACGGGCGGCAGCGGUCGGGAAUAUUGCACAGUGGGGCGGAGCGUGAUACGGCGGCUCCCCGUGCGGGAUGCCGGGCUUUGGGUUGAAAACCGCUUUCGCCGGUGCCGAAAGGGGAGUGACGGUAACGGGUAAAGAAGCACCGGCUAACUACGUG
rnacentral:rRNA from 1 species